ensembl:lncRNA
AAACACUCUUGGCACCCAUGCAGCUGUUGUACCUCUGAGACUUCUCUGGGCAGCUAUGGAGAGGUUCCCCUGGCACCAGAAUACAUGAGUAGCCAGGCUAAAGACUUAAUUUCAAGGUCAAGUCACACAGGCAAGCAUGAUGUGACCCUGUACUGCCUACUUCCUGCUGACCGGCUGGGGCUGUGCCUCACCUGAGGGGGAGGUCUUUACCAGUAGGCUGGCCAGUGAGUGAGGUCAACCAGACUCCCUCUCUGGGGAAAAAGUGAGUUAGGAGUCAAGGGGAACAGAGAACACUCAGGCUAAAAGAUCCUGUCAGCUGAGGGGCCUAGAUGAAUAUCAAGCUUGAGGGACACAUCCCAGAAGAAGGAGCGCAAGGGCAGGGUGACAUUAGGUAUUUAUGGUGCAGUGAUUGGCUACUGUGAAUUUAGUGACUGGCAUAUGAUAUGGAGGCCAAACCGGGCUCAAGAGUGACUGAAAACAAACCCGGAGGGAAGGACACUGCAGAAGCCCGCCAGACUCCUCGCUCCAUGGAAUUUUCCAGGCUAGAAUAUUGGAGUGGGUUGCCAUUUCCUACUGCAGGGGAUCUUCCCGACCCAGGGAUUGAACCUGCGUCUCCUGUGUCUCCUGCAUUGGCAGGCAGAUUCUUUACCACUGAGCCACCAUCACAACGUGUAUAUAUACACACAGAAACAGCAUUGCAAUUACUGGAAACUUGCUCUCCCAGCAGCCUGCCUCCAGGACCAGAGGGUCCUGCUGAUGUUCCAAGGAGGUGGGGGAAGACGGGCCAGAGAAGCACCUCCUUCUCUGCUGUCCUCCAGGAGUGAGCUGGCUGAUUGCUUCAUUCUAAGUGGCUCCUAUGUGUGCGACUUAGUCAUCUCUCAUCAGAUAUACACCACAACCUUGUCUGGUGAUUGCCCGCAUUUGCUGGUUUCAAGCUUUUUUCUCAGUAGUUUUGGGUGUAAAUGCUAUAGUGUGUAUACCAGGAAAGCCAUCCAGAUGUGGUUCUAACUCAGGAAUGCUGGAUUUACCCCUGGGGUCAAAAGAAGAACAGAAUCUAAUUUUUAUUGAAUUAAAAUUAAAAUAUUGAAUUAAAA